AUACGAGGGGUGCAAGCGUUAUUCGGAAUCAUUGGGCGUAAAGGGUGCGUAGGCGGCACAUUAAGUCAGUUGUUAAAUUCCUUGGCCUAACCAAGGCUCUGCGACUGAUACUGGUGAGCUUGAGGAUGGAAGAGAGAAGUGGAAUUCUCGGAGUAGCGGUAAAAUGCGUAGAUCUCGAGAGGAACACCGAUGGCGAAGGCAGCUUCUUGGUCCAUUCCUGACGCUGAGGCACGAAAGCGUGGGUAGCAAACAGAAUUAGAAACCCCAGUAGUCC
rnacentral:rRNA from 1 species